rnacentral:rRNA from 1 species
AUUGAACGCUGGCGGAAUGCUUUACACAUGCAAGUCGAACGGCAGCACGGGGGCAACCCUGGUGGCGAGUGGCGAACGGGUGAGUAAUACAUCGGAACGUGCCCAGUCGUGGGGGAUAACGUUGCGAAAGCUACGCUAAUACCGCAUACGAUCUAAGGAUGAAAGCGGGGGAUCGGAAGACCUCGCGCGAUUGGAGCGGCCGAUGGCAGAUUAGGUAGUUGGUGGGGUAAAGGCUCACCAAGCCGACGAUCUGUAGCUGGUCUGAGAGGACGACCAGCCACACUGGGACUGAGACACGGCCCAGACUCCUACGGGAGGCAGCAGUGGGGAAUUUUGGACAAUGGGCGCAAGCCUGAUCCAGCCAUUCCGCGUGCAGGAUGAAGGCCCUCGGGUUGUAAACUGCUUUUGUACGGAACGAAACGGCUCUCUCUAAUACAGGGGGCUAAUGACGGUACCGUAAGAAUAAGCACCGGCUAACUACGUGCCAGCCGCCGCAGUAA